rnacentral:rRNA from 1 species
UUAAUACCGGAUAUGACCACUACGGACAUCUGUUUUGGUGGAAAGAAUUUCGGCUAGGGAUGAGCUCGCGGCCUAUCAGCUUGUUGGUGGGGUAACGGCCUACCAAGGCGACGACGGGUAGCCGGCCUGAGAGGGCGACCGGCCACACUGGGACUGAGACACGGCCCAGACUCCUACGGGAGGCAGCAGUGGGGAAUAUUGCGCAAUGGGCGAAAGCCUGACGCAGCGACGCCGCGUGGGGGAUGAAGGCCUUCGGGUUGUAAACCCCUUUCAGCAGGGACGAAGCGAAAGUGACGGUACCUGCAGAAGAAGCGCCGGCUAACUACGUGCCAGCAGCCGCGGUAACACGUAGGGCGCAAGCGUUGUCCGGAAUUAUUGGGCGUAAAGAGCUCGUAGGCGGUCUGUUGCGUCCGCUGUGAAAACUCGGGGCUUAACCCCGAGCCUGCAGUGGAUACGGGCAGACUAGAGGUAGGUAGGGGAGAAUGGAAUUCCCGGUGUAGCGGUGAAAUGCGCAGAUAUCGGGAGGAACACCGGUGGCGAAGGCGGUUCUCUGGGCCUUACCUGACGCUGAGGAGCGAAAGCGUGGGGAGCGAACA